rnacentral:rRNA from 1 species
UACGUAGGUGGCGAGCGUUGUCCGGAUUUACUGGGCGUAAAGGGAGCGUAGGCGGACUUUUAAGUGAGAUGCGAAAUACUCGGGCUCAACUUGAGCGCUGCAUUUCAAACUGGAAGUCUAGAGUGCAGGAGAGGAGAAUGGAAUUCCUAGUGUAGCGGUGAAAUGCGUAGAGAUUAGGAAGAACACCAGUGGCGAAGGCGAUUCUCUGGACUGUAACUGACGCUGAGGCUCGAAAGCGUGGGGAGCAAACAGG